AGAGUUUGAUCAUGGCUCAGGACGAACGCUGGCGGCGCGCCUAAAACAUGCAAGUCGAGCGAGAACCAGGGCUUCGGCUCUGGGGAGAGCGGCGAACGGGUGCGUAACACGUGAGCAACCUGCCCCGAAGACUGGGACAACACCGGGAAACCGGUGCUAAUACCAGAUGCCCUCACCGGAUCGCAUGGUGUGGUGAGGAAAUGGAUUCCGCUUCGGGAUGGGCUCGCGGUCUAUCAGCUUGUUGGUGGGGUAACGGCCUACCAAGGCGACGACGGAUAGCUGGUCUGAGAGGACGAUCAGCCACACUGGGACUGAGACACGGCCCAGACUCCUACGGGAGGCAGCAGUUAGGAAUCUUGCGCAAUGGGGGAAACCCUGACGCAGCGACGCCGCGUGCGGGAUGAAGGCCUUCGGGUUGUAAACCGCUUUCAGCAGGGACGAAAUUGACGGUACCUGCAGAAGAAGGCCCGGCCAACUACGUGCCAGCAGCCGCGGUAAUACGUAGGGGCCUAGCGUUGUCCGGAUUUAUUGGGCGUAAAGAGCUCGUAGGCGGUUCGGCAAGUCGGAUGUGAAAUCUCCACGCUCAACGUGGAGGGGCCAUUCGAAACUGCCGUGACUCGAGUCCGGUAGGGGAGUGUGGAAUUCCCGGUGUAGCGGUGUAAUGCGCAGAUAUCGGGAGGAACACCAGUAGCGAAGGCGGCACUCUGGGCCGGUACUGACGCUGAGGAGCGAAAGCGUGGGGAGCAAACAGGAUUAGAUACCCUAGUAGUCC
rnacentral:rRNA from 1 species